GGCGUCGUCCCCAGCAGCCGGCCACGGUUUCGUGUGUCAGUGCAGCUGCGGCCCGCCAUCCAUCCACACAGCCCCCCGCUGCUCUUCACUGCGUGGCGCGGAGGCGGUGGAUCGUUUACUUUGAACAAAUUAGAGUGUUUCAAGCAGGCUCAAUGCUAUGAAUACAUUAGCAUGGAAUAAUGAUUUAGGACUUCGGUUCUAUUUUGUUGGUUUCAAGGACUGAAGUA
rnacentral:rRNA from 1 species